CCUACGGGAGGCAGCAGUAGGGAAUUUUCGUCAAUGGGCGCAAGCCUGAACGAGCGAUGCCGCGUGAGUGAAGAAGGCCUUCGGGUCGUAAAGCUCUGUUGCGGGGGAAAAAAGGCAGCAUCAGGAAAUGGGUGCUGACUGAUGGUGCCCCGCCAGAAAGUCACGGCUAAAUACGUGCGAGCAGCCGCGGUAAUACGUAGGUGGCGAGCGUUGUCCGGAAUGGUUGGGCGUAAGGGGUGCGCAGGCGGUCCUGCAAGUCUGGAGUGAAACGCAUGGGCUCAACUCAUGCAUGGCUUUGGAAACUGGAGGACUGGAGAGUAGGAGAGGGCGGUGGAACUCCAUGUGUAGCGGUAAAAUGCGUAGAUAUAUGGAAGAACACCAGUGGCGAAGGCGGCCGCCUGGCCUGUUGCUGACGCUGAGGCACGAAAGCGUGGGGAGCAAAUAGGAUUAGAUACCCUGGUAGUC
rnacentral:rRNA from 1 species